AAUUCAUGCAUUGAAUACACAUACAUUUGCUGUAAAUCGGAAGCAUAUACUGUAUGUAUAUAAAACAGGCAUGUAUAUGGUUUUGCAUGUUGAGGUUGUGCAGUGCACAUUUGCACUAGUUAAAUAUUCCCUCUCAUUUUGCUUACCCUUGCUCCAUCCUCUGCACCUCUCGCUUUUUCUCUCGAAUGCAAAUAUUGGCACAACUAACAGCAGUGCCCCCAACAUCAAGAGGAACAGACAGGAAGAGAAGAAAAAAGUGGCGUCACAGACCAACAGGCUGCGAGCUGCGGUCUUUAAGAAGAAGCUACUGGACCAGAUUCUCAGGAGGAACAUGGACUGAAGGGGCUUGGAGGGAGGCCGUGCCAAAGCUUGACCCAGCACCUCAGCUGCACCUGCCUAACACCUGUCCGUGUGCUCAGGCAACUUCUAAAUCAAUGGUGCCAUUGCACAUGGUAAUAUGUCCAGAGUUGAUUCAACUCUAACAGGGACCAUAGAUACUUUGUAAGAGUUGAUUUAACCAUGAACAUUUUCCUGUGCAGAAAAACAUUCACUACUUCUUAAAUACUGUUUGAAUUAUUUUUAUAUCUUAUAUUGCGUUUGUGUAGAAAAACAAACAUUUUAAUGCAAGGAAAGGUAUGCUCUGGACAUUCAGGUUGUUGGUGUUUACAUAAGAUAACGUGAUGUAAUGAAUGUAUGUUAACAUGAUUGAGCUUAAGAUACCAGCAACCUAAAUCCCAGGAUUCUGUAUAUUUUGUUAGUGCUAACAACCAUACUAUAGAUUUAUUAACUAAGCCAUUUUAGAAAAAAAGAACAUUGUGUGUGUGUGCACAAAUGUAUUUGCUAUUGUUGAUAAUUUAUUAUUAUUAGAAUAUUAAUUCUGUCAAAUCUUCUUUUUGUGGAACGAUCGUCUCUGAAAUUAAUAUUUUUUAGAACUACUACUGGAAUUUGGGCAACAGACUGGAGUUUGAAACAUUUUUUUCUUCUCCCUUGUGCCCUCUUGUGGCUCCUAUGGGGAAGUCUGAAAAAUAAAAUUGCCAUUUCAAUCAAUUACACACAAAUGCUCUUAGUUGAGUUAAAGGUAGAAGUUAAUUUGCUUGAACGAGAAGUUGAUAAGCAAAUAAGCUGUCAAGGAAAGAAGAACUUUCUAUCACUCACUGUUAAAAGUUUUGUCUGGGGUUCUGUGAACGUGCCUUUGGGAACAAGAAUUCCAACUUAAUGGAACUCAGGAGACUGACAGAAUGAAAGCCUUGUCAGUAAGGUUGUUGAUGAUGAACUAUGUGGUGCCGUUGCAGAUCAGCUACGCCUUUAACAGUGCAAAUAUAACCUGUAAACAUGGCUUUGUGAACCAGGAAAAAUGGGUGUUGGAAGAUUGCUGUUUUAAGCAGAAUUAAUGACAAAGCAUCAAGCUUCAUUGGUGCUUAGGGAAUACUUGGAUAUUCUUUCUGUAUUCCUUUAGAUAGCUACUGAAAAUGUGUUAUAUUACUGUGUUAUUUCCAAAAUAUAUAUAAUUACAUUUUUUAGAAAUGUACAAUAGGCAGAUUAUGAAAGGCUGUAUUUUUUGUGAUUUGUGUGUGAUUAUUUGUUAUUCCCGUGAUAACAUUUAUAAAUAUUAAGCUUUGCAAAUAUUAUAAAUCACUAGUUUGUCCAAAUAAACACAACUAUCUGAAAUGGCAUUUUAAAAAAUGUUUAAAAUGUUAAUCUUUGUGAAUGACCUGCAAAUAAAUUACUGCUGUUGAUAACUCA